AGUGGCAGGAGGCCAGAGUCACCCUGGAGAAGGCUGUUGUGUGGAGACCUGAAAGAAGAACAGCAAUCCUGGAGCUGGCCCUGGAGAGGGUGCAGGACCACCUGUUUUUAGAGCCCAUGCUGGUUCCUCUUGGGGAACUUUUUAGACCACGAAAGAAGGAAGUUGAGCAGCUGGAUUCAAAAGAUUUCCUGGGUAAACCCAAGGUGAUCUCAUCCAUUAUUCCCAACGAUGAAUACAUUGGCUU